rnacentral:rRNA from 1 species
UACGUAGGGUGCAGGCGUUAAUCGGAAUUACUGGGCGUAAAGCGUGCGCAGGCGGCUCCUUAAGUCAGACGUGAAAUCCCCAGGCUUAACCUGGGAACUGCGUCUGAUACUACAAGGCUGGAGUGCGGGAGAGGGAUGUGGAAUUCCAGGUGUAGCGGUGAAAUGCGUAGAUAUCUGGAGGAACACCGGUGGCGAAGGCGGCAUCCUGGACCGACACUGACGCUGAGGCGCGAAAGCUAGGGGAGCAAACGGG